AGUCUUGUCUACAGUCUGACUUAUUGAAAUAAGACUUCAGUCUGACUUAUUGAAAUAAAAGACUUCAGUUUGACCUAUAGAAAUUAAAGAUCAGUUUGACUUAUUGAAAUAAAAGACUUCAGUCUGACUUACUGAAAUAAAAGACUUCAGUUUAAUCUACAGGAGACACUCAGAGAUCUACAGGAAUGCACUGACCACGGCAGAGAAAAUACAGACUGAUGCCUGGGAAACAAUACAGAGUUCAAACAGUUCUUCUUUCAUGCAAAGGUGUCAUGGUGGUGUUUCUUUCUGCUGUUUGGUGGGUUUUCCUGUUUCUCUCCCUGGCAGUCAGUGGGUGCAGCAGAGGGCGUAGUCUCUGUAACGAGGCACACCUUGCAGCAUUUCUCUCCUUAUCACUCAGUUUCUCUCCCUGGCAGUCUGUGGCUGGCUGGCGGAGCUGGGACUGUGUAAUGAGGCACACCUGAUAUUCAUCUCGUUAUCUCUCCGAUAAAGCCUGGUCCAGACUCCACUCCUGUAUCACAUUAUCCUUUUGCAGUUGAUAGAGGUCAGUGGCGCUUGUGUUUUCUACUUUUUGUUUAUGUAUUUUUGGAUUUCUGGACUAACAAGUGUUGUUCAAGCCAGCACUCUUUUAUGAUUUAUUAAUGUUAUUAGGACAAUGCACAUUUCUGUAAAUGCACCAGUUAGCCAGAAGGCUAAUUUUCAUCUGUAGUCCUAGUUACCCAGCAUGCAUGCCUUUAUAGUGGGAGGAAACCAGAGCAGCUGAAGGGAACCCACGCAAACAUGGGAAGAACAUGUAAACUACACACAGAAAGGCGCUGCCUGGACUGGGGAUUGAACUCUGCAGUGCCAACUUGCUGUGAGGCAGAAGUGCUAACCACUGAGCCACCAUGUCUCCAGUGUUCCCCAGCUUUCAGCCUGACUGAGUCUUCUGGUUGGACCGCUAUCUCCUCCUGCUACACCAGACAGACUUCAUUACCUCCAAGUGCCUCCAGCCGAUUCCCCAGAAACUCAAUAUUUUUUUUUUUCUUCUUCAAUGAACACCCUAAAACCAGCUCCGCCUCCGUCUCUGUGACUUAGGGUCCAAACACAAAAACUCAAACCAAAACAAUGAAACACUUUGACCACGUUUGUUAGAGCCCAGUGAACACACAGCCGAGCGAAGCCUCACCCUCUCAUUAAUGAUUAAUGAUCUGAUCACAUUGAUCUGCUGUUAAUUAUUGAUCAGUUAGAUAUUGUUAACUCUCUUUUUAUUACAAAUACUGACUCAAACUGCAAAUGCUGCAGGAUUAGUCUUUUAUUAGAUAAUGAGUAUGUAAGUAAGAUAUAAACAUGAAGAUAUAAACACAGAAAUACAGAGACGUAAAGUACUUUUGUAGUUUUUUCUUUAGUUUUAUAAAACCCACUUGAGUCACACAGGUGAAACAGAUCAAUGUGCAGGUAGAGACAAACAACUUUAUUCAACAUUAAUAACAUGAGACAAACCUUUAUUCCACCUUCUGUGUGACAUUUAAAGAUCACCAACAGUUUAACAUUUAAUAUCAUGAAUAAUAAAUCAGUUGUUUCCUUUGAAUCUGACAAUAAUUAGAUUCUAAAGAAGUAACUGAACUGGUGUUGUUCUGUUAUUGCAUUGUCACCAUCUACACAGUAACAAAGUCCACUGAACUGAUAUCAGAGGUCAAAGGUCUCUGCUGGCUGAAGAACUGAUUCUGCUGAAACUGCAGAAAGAAGAGAGACGAACCACAGCAGGAAGAGAGAGGAAGCAGGAUUUAUUUAAAACGUGACUGAUACAGGAAGAAGUAUUUCACAACUGACUGGAAAGAGACUGAAAGAGACAAAGCUUUAACUGCCAGAAUAUUCAACAAAUGGACAGAAUAUAAACAGAAUAUUUAACAAACUGACUCCUGACACACUAAAGAGUUAGAGAAUAAUUUAACAGAGAGAGAGAACAGCUGGUUGGUGUUGAAGUUUAAAAAUCAGGAGCAGAUUCUGACUGCCGAGAAAAAUAUCUGCAGAACAUCGAGAGAAAAUCUCAAUCUGAUCAGUUCUUCAGUCCAUCAGUUCUUCAGAGGAAAAUGGCCGUCAGCUCCCCAAGAGAUAAGUACUUUGGCGUCUGGCUGAUUUUCUUCAUGCUCGGUUUGGGAACGCUGCUGCCCUGGAACUUCUUCAUGACAGCUACCAUGUACUUCACCAGCCGUCUGAAGGACUCGUCAUCGGUCGAUUAUUCAGCCAAUCAGACAGAAGCAGAAGGUGAACAUCGCAGCAUUCUGGAGGCUAAAUUCAACAACGUGAUGACGCUGUGCGCCAUGCUGCCGUUGCUCCUUUGCACUUGCCUCAACUCCUUCCUGCACUCACUUAUUCCUCAGCGUCUGCGAGUGAUGGGCAGCCUGCUCAUCAUCAUGUUUGUCUUCAUGGCCACCGCUGUCCUUGUCAGAGUUCCUCUCGAGCCGCUGCCAUUCUUCUGUGUUACCAUGGUGAAGAUCAUCAUCAUCAACUCAUUCGGAGCUAUUCUCCAGGGCAGUCUGUUUGGGAUGGCCGGCUUGCUGCCGGCUUCAUAUACGACUCCCAUCAUGAGCGGUCAGGGACUCGCUGGAACCUUUGCUGCCUUCGCCAUGAUCUGCGCCAUCGCAAGCGGCUCAGAGCUUCAUGAUGCAGCGUUCGGUUACUUCAUCACAGCCUGUGUUGUUAUUCUUCUGUCUGUCCUCUCCUACAUCCUGCUGCCUAAACUGGAGUUUUUCCAGUUUUAUCAGCAGAGAAACAGGAACCAGAGACCAGAAGAAGAUAACUCUGUAAAUCUGAUGAACAGUGAGAGUAAAGGUGAAGCAGUUGAUCCGAACACACACCAGGACGUCUCCAUGAUUAAAAUCUUUAAGAAGAUCUGGCUUUUGGCUCUGUUGGUCUGUUUCACCUUCACCGUCACCAUCGGCACGUUUCCCGCCAUCACCGCCGACACCAAAUCCACCCUUGCUGACGGAGGCUCCUGGGCUUCUUCUUCAUUUUGUCAGCAUCUCGUAUCGGAUGAAAUCAGAUUUAAGACUCUUUUGAUUACCUUGGAGCGGUACUUUAUUCCCGUUAGCUGUUUUCUGCUCUUUAACCUGUGCGACUGGGCCGGCCGGAGCCUAACGGCCGCCUGUAUGUGGGCCCAUCUGGAAAUGCUACCUGCAAAAUUUUGUGCCAAUCGGUUGCACGGUCUAGGAGGAGAUCGAAAAACCUGGAAAGGACAGUCUGGUACUUCCCGUGUCCAUCGUGUGUCGUCUCGGUUUCCUCCCUCUCUUCAUGUUGUGUAACGUUCAGCCUCGUCUACACCUGCCGGUCUUCUUCCAUCACGAUGGCUGGUUCAUUUUCUUCAUGAUCCUCUUCGCCUUCAGUAAUGGAUACCUGGCCAGCCUCUGCAUGUGCUUCGGUCCAAAGAAUGUUCUUCCUCAUGAAGCAGAAACAGCCGGAGCCAUCAUGGCUUUCUUUCUGUCUCUGGGUUUGGCUUUAGGAGCCGCUCUGUCCUUCCUCUUCAGAGCGCUGGUUUAACUGGACUAACUGGAAAACUACAUCUGUAUUACUGGACUAACUGGAAAACUACCUACAUCUGACUGGUUUAACUGGAAACCACCUGCUUACCGCUGGAUUAACUGGAAGACAAACGUUCUGUUUGUUACUGGUCUGACUGGGAGAAAACCUUUUAUCAAAACCUUUGUGUUUGGGGUGGAGGGUUAGGUACAGCUGAGUGUCAGAACCUCAAAUGUUGAUGUGUCAUAAAUAGGUUUCUAAUCAAAGUCUGCAAAACAUCGCUGUUCAUGGCCGUGUAAAACAAAGUCAACGUUCCUUUCAUUUGAAUUAUUUUUAACUUGUUUUGAAUACGUAACGUACUUAACUUAUGUCACAUUUGGUACAUAACCCUAACCCUACAUAACAAACAUACUGUUUUGUUUUUUUUAACCCAAGUCAUCAUCUUUUUCUUAAUCCAACCAUGUGUUUAAUGGUGACUGUUCCAUGAGUGCUCUUGUCCUAGAAACAUUCGCUGGAAACGUUAGCUGGAAACAUUAGCUGGAAACGUUCUCUGGAAACGGCUGCUGGAAAAUAACUUUCUAUCGAAACAUCAACAUAUCCUCUUAUAGUUUAUAUAAUACCACAAUAUUAUAUGGGAAUACCUCUUUAAUGUCAACUGUUUAAUGCCUGCAGACCGAAUCCAUCAGCAGACAUUUGGUGAGCUUGACUCCUGUUGUUCUGUUCGUUUAAUAUUAAUAUCAGAAUCUGUUUCACUUUUGGGGUUCUUGGAUGAAUUAAACUGAAAAGUGAAGCAAAUUCUGAAGUGAGAAAGCACUUUCUGGUUCAUAAGUAAAUGGUACAUAUAUAAAUGUUAUAUGAUAUUAUACUUAGGUGUAAUAAGUUUAUUCAAAGCUUCACAGCUGCUCAUCUCCGACAUCUCGUGUUUCCUGUCUUUUAUAUCUGAUUGUAUAUCUUAUGAGUGCAAUAGAAAAACACACAAAUGAAUUAGUUAUGAAAGAGAAAAUGUUAUUAAUCAUCACAAAGACCCAAACAGAUAUACUUUUCUAUUCACAUUAAACAGUUUACUGUCUAAAGUA